AACGAACGCUGGCGGCAUGCCUAACACAUGCAAGUCGAACGAGACCUUCGGGUCUAGUGGCGCACGGGUGCGUAACGCGUGGGAAUCUGCCCUUGGGUUCGGAAUAACAGUUGGAAACGACUGCUAAUACCGGAUGAUGACGUAAGUCCAAAGAUUUAUCGCCCAAGGAUGAGCCCGCGUAGGAUUAGCUAGUUGGUGAGGUAAAGGCUCACCAAGGCGACGAUCCUUAGCUGGUCUGAGAGGAUGAUCAGCCACACUGGACUGAGACACGGCCCAGACUCCUACGGGAGGCAGCAGUGGGGAAUAUUGGACAAUGGGCGAAAGCCUGAUCCAGCAAUGCCGCGUGAGUGAUGAAGGCCUUAGGGUUGUAAAGCUCUUUUACCCGGGAUGAUAAUGACAGUACCGGGAGAAUAAGCUCCGGCUAACUCCGUG
rnacentral:rRNA from 1 species